GUCUGAUUAGCGUGUUGGCGGGGUAACGGCCCACCAAGGCAACGAUCAGUAGGGGUUCUGAGAGGAAGGUCCCCCACAUUGGAACUGAGACACGGUCCAAACUCCUACGGGAGGCAGCAGUGAGGAAUAUUGGUCAAUGGGCGAGAGCCUGAACCAGCCAAGUAGCGUGCAGGAAGACGGCCCUAUGGGUUGUAAACUGCUUUUAUAAGGGAAUAAAGUGAGUCUCGUGAGACUUUUUGCAUGUACCUAUGAAUAAGGACCGGCUAAUUCCGUGCCAGCAGCCGCGGUAAUACGGAAGGUCCGGGCGUUAUCCGGAUUUAUUGGGUUUAAAGGGAGCGUAGGCCGGAGAUUAAGCGUGUUGUGAAAUGUAGACGCUCAACGUCUGCACUGCAUCGCGAACUGGUUUCCUUGAGUACGCACAAAGUGGGCGGAAUUCGUGGUGUAGCGGUGAAAUGCUUAGAUAUCACGAAGAACUCCGAUUGCGAAGGCAGCUCACUGGAGCGCAACUGACGCUGAAGCUCGAAAGUGCGGGUAUCGAACAGGAUUAGAUACCCUGGUAGUCCGCACGGUAAACGAUGGAUGCCCGCUGUUGGUCUGAACAGGUCAGCGGCCAAGCGAAAGCAUUAAGCAUCCCACCUGGGGAGUACGCCGGCAACGGUGAAACUCAAAGGAAUUGACGGGGGCCCGCACAAGCGGAGGAACAUGUAGUUUAAUUCGAUGAUACGCGAGGAACCUUACCCGGGCUUGAAUUGCAGAGGAAGGAUUUGGAGACAAUGACGCCCUUCGGGGUCUCUGUGAAGGUGCUGCAUGGUUGUCGUCAGCUCGUGCCGUGAGGUGUCGGCUUAAGUGCCAUAACGAGCGCAACCCCUCUCCUUAGUUGCCAUCAGGUUAAGCUGGGCACUCUGGGGACACUGCCACCGUAAGGUGUGAGGAAGGUGGGGAUGACGUCAAAUCAGCACGGCCCUUACGUCCGGGCUACACACGUGUUACAAUGGCAGGUACAGAGAGACGGUUGUACGUAAGUACGAUCAAAUCCUUAAAGCCUGUCUCAGUUCGGACUGGGGUCUGCAACCCGACCCCACGAAGCUGGAUUCGCUAGUAAUCGCGCAUCAGCCAUGGCGCGGUGAAUACGUUCCCGGGCCUUGUACACACCGCCCGUCGAGCCAUGAAAGCCGGGGGCGCCUAAAGUCCGUGACCGUAAGGAGCGGCCUAGGGCGAAACUGGUAAUUGGGGCUAAGUCGUAACAAGGUA
rnacentral:rRNA from 1 species